GACGAACGCUGGCGGCGUGCUUAACACAUGCAAGUCGAACGGAAAGGCCCCUUUGGGGGUACUCGAGUGGCGAACGGGUGAGUAACACGUGAGUAACCUGCCCUUGACUUCGGGAUAACUUCAGGAAACUGGGGCUAAUACCGGAUAGGAAUCCUUGCUGCAUGGUGGGGGUUGGAAAGCUUCGGCGGUUUUGGAUGGACUCGCGGCUUAUCCGCUUGUUGGUGGGGUAGUGGCUUACCAAGGCUUUGACGGGUAGCCGGCCUGAGAGGGCGACCGGCCACAUUGGGACUGAGAUACGGCCCAGACGCCUACGGGAGGCAGCAGUGGGGAAUAUUGCACAAUGGGCGGAAGCCUGAUGCAGCAACGCCGCGUGCGGGAUGACGGCCUUCGGGUUGUAAACCGCUUUCAGCAGGGGCGAAGCUUGUGGUGACGGUACCUGCAGAAGAAGCACCGGCUAACUACGUG
rnacentral:rRNA from 1 species